rnacentral:rRNA from 1 species
UGAACGCUAGCUACAGGCUUAACACAUGCAAGUCGAGGGCAGCAUGUGUGCUGCAACAAUGAUGGCGACCGGCGCACGGGUGAGUAACGCGUAUCCAACCUUCCCCAUAGUAGAGGAUAGCCCGGCGAAAGUCCGGAUUAAUACUCUAUGUUGUGUCAUGAGGACAUCUGAAUAACACCAAAGAUUUAUCGCUAUGGGAUGGGGAUGCGUCUGAUUAGCUUGUCGGCGGGGUAACGGCCCACCGAGGCAACGAUCAGUAGGGGUUCUGAGAGGAAGGUCCCCCACAUUGGUACUGAGACACGGACCAAACUCCUACGGGAGGCAGCAGUGAGGAAUAUUGGUCAAUGGGCGCGAGCCUGAACCAGCCAAGUAGCGUGCAGGAAUGACUGCCCUAUGGCUUGUAAACUGCUUUUAUGCGGGAAUAAAGUCAGGUACGUGUACCUGUUUGUAUGUACCGCAUGAAUAAGGACCGGCUAAUUCCGUGCCAGCCGCUGC